rnacentral:rRNA from 1 species
GAUGAACGCUGGCGGCGUGCCUAAUACAUGCAAGUCGAGCGAACAGACGAGGAGCUUGCUCCUCUGACGUUAGCGGCGGACGGGUGAGUAACACGUGGAUAACCUACCUAUAAGACUGGGAUAACUUCGGGAAACCGGAGCUAAUACCGGAUAAUAUAUUGAACCGCAUGGUUCAAUAGUGAAAGACGGUUUUGCUGUCACUUAUAGAUGGAUCCGCGCUGCAUUAGCUAGUUGGUAAGGUAACGGCUUACCAAGGCAACGAUGCGUAGCCGACCUGGGAGGGGGUCGGGCAACACGGGACCUGAGACAGGUCCCAGCUCCUAAGGGAAGGCGGAGUCGGGAAACCUUCGCAAUUGGGGGAAAGCUGAAGGAACCAAGGCGGGGGAGGGGAGGAAGGUCUUCGGAUGUUAAAACUCGUUUAUAGGGGAAAAACAAUUUGGAAGGUAACGAGGAACGCUUGAACGUAACUUAUGAAGAAGGCCAGGCUAACUAAGGG